GCCAGAGACCCGGGUUCCAUCUGGGUUGGGAAGAUCCUCUGGAGAAGGGAAUGGCAACCCACUUCAGUAUUCCUGCCUGGAGAAUCCCACGGACAGAGGAGCCUGGUGGGCUAUAGUCCGUGGGGUUACAAAGAGUCAGACAUGACUGAGCAGGCACACACAUAUGCAUACAUGGAGGAGAUGUGCACAACACAUAUGCCGUGGUUUCUCACUCACUGCCCCGUUUACCCACAACAAAAAAUUCUAGUGGACUCUGGAUAAUGCAUAGGAAUCCAAGGUGCUUUUUACAGAACCAACCACACAGCAUCAUGCAGCGGUACUGAUCCUAUCUACUCCAGGGUCUUCCUCUCACCAUUUGAAAGUGAUUUCCUUGGAAACCAGAGAUGCGGCUCCUGUUUGAAUUGGACCUGAAGACAAGAACAUGAAGUGGAACUCCGGUGGGGCUGGGGACAGUGCGGGAUUCUGGGGAUGACAUUCAAAGUAGUUGCCUUCAUUUUUGUAUUUCAGAUAUACGUAUUCAGCUUACAGGAGCUGCAAGAGCCCAAAGAAAGAACAGCAACACCGAUGGCAGUUCCCAACCCCAUCCUCACACCCACUGACCUAAACUGAUCGAGGCCACUAAAAAUGAGGAAGUAGUAAAAUUCAGACUGUCUCCCCUCAUGAACUUACAAAAGCUAAACUAAGUAGAAGUGCCAGCCAGUCUCUGGUUAUUUCAAUAUAUAAAAAGCCAGACAGGGGUGAUUCAGCCCUAGUCUUCUCGUAAGGCACUCAUUCUGGUCGAUUGGUGGAGAGAGACCUUACUUUGUACUCAGUACUGUGUUAGAUAUUGAGAAAACAGUGAUGAAAAUCAGCGUACUCCUUGCUAGAGCCCACAGGGUAGAAUAGGAAACUCUAGACACUGAAACCUUGCUGCAAUAGAAUGAGCAGUUUAGGAGCAUAUGAGGGCCAAUGUGCAAUCCUAAGGGAGCCCUGAUUCUCCUGGAUAUUUCUGGAGUGUCUACUAUAGCAUGACACUUGCUAAAUACUGGAGAACAGUUAUUUAGGGAUGGUUCUAAAAAUGACUAUCCACAUGAUACCAAACAAAACACGUCAAAUAACCAGUUGCUUUGCUACAUUAUGCCAAAUAACUCACCAUCCAAAAUAUAUUGCAGAUAGAAUGACCCAGAUGUCUUGAACACAUGAGAACAUGACUAAGAAGACAGUUCUGACCCUUGAAUUAAUCUAAGAAUCCGUUUAGAACCUUUGAUCUCAGAAAUAUCAAUUUUAAAAAACAAAGUUCCAAAGAUUACAGAAACACAC
ensembl:lncRNA